rnacentral:lncRNA from 1 species
GUUAUCAUGCAAAGGGAGGUAUUUCAGCUUAAGAAGCAGAUGCUGCCCCUUCCUUUGUAUGUAAGGAGGAAAGGACACUGGCAUUGACUGAGUCAUAUCUUUGAAGGAGGAAAUUUGAUUGGCUCUUGGCUUGACAAUGGAUAGGCUGCCUUUGGGUCAGAGGAGGAUAUAUUCAUUGCCUGCUCUACCCACAGACCCUGCCUGGACAAGGCUGCUCCAUGUACCUUAAAACUAUGACAACAGUUACUUAUAC